GACGAACGCUGGCGGCGUGCUUAACACAUGCAAGUCGAGCGGUAAGGCCCUUUCGGGGGUACACGAGCGGCGAACGGGUGAGUAACACGUGGGUGACCUGCCCUCAGCUCUGGGAUAAGCCUGGGAAACCGGGUCUAAUACCGGAUAUGACUCCAUGACGCAUGUUGUGGGGUGGAAAGCCUUGUGCGGCUGAGGAUGGGCCCGCGGCCUAUCAGCUUGUUGGUGGGGUGAUGGCCUACCAAGGCGACGACGGGUAGCCGGCCUGAGAGGGCGACCGGCCACACUGGGACUGAGACACGGCCCAGACUCCUACGGGAGGCAGCAGUGGGAAUCUUGCGCAAUGGGCGAAAGCCUGACGCAGCGACGCCGCGUGAGGGAUGACGGCCU
rnacentral:rRNA from 1 species